UGGGGAAUCUUAGACAAUGGGCGCAAGCCUGAUCUAGCCAUGCCGCGUGAGUGAUGAAGGCCUUAGGGUCGUAAAGCUCUUUCGCCUGUGAUGAUAAUGACAGUAGCAGGUAAAGAAACCCCGGCUAACUCCGUGCCAGCAGCCGCGGUAAUACGGAGGGGGUUAGCGUUGUUCGGAAUUACUGGGCGUAAAGCGCACGUAGGCGGAUUGGAAAGUUGGGGGUGAAAUCCCGGGGCUCAACCCCGGAACUGCCUCCAAAACUAUCAGUCUAGAGUUCGAGAGAGGUGAGUGGAAUUCCAAGUGUAGAGGUGAAAUUCGUAGAUAUUUGGAGGAACACCAGUGGCGAAGGC
rnacentral:rRNA from 1 species